GAAGUUAGGAAGCUUGCUUCUGAUACUUAGUGGCGGACGGGUGAGUAAUGCUUAGGAAUCUGCCUGGUAGUGGGGGAUAACUUGGGGAAACCCAAGCUAAUACCGCAUACGACCUACGGGUGAAAGGGGGCUUUUAGCUCUCGCUAUUAGAUGAGCCUAAGUCGGAUUAGCCGGUUGGUGGGGUAAAGGCCUACCAAGGCGACGAUCUGUAGCUGGUCUGAGAGGAUGAUCAGCCACACUGGGACUGAGACACGGCCCAGACUCCUACGGGAGGCAGCAGUGGGGAAUAUUGGACAAUGGGCGAAAGCCUGAUCCAGCCAUGCCGCGUGUGUNAAGAAGGCCUUUUGGUUGUAAAGCACUUUAAGUGGGGAGGAAAAGCUUAUGGUUAAUACCCAUAAGCCCUGACGUUACCCACAGAAUAAGCACCGGCUAACUCUGUGCCAGCAGCCGCGGUAAUACAGAGGGUGCAAGCGUUAAUCGGAAUUACUGGGCGUUAAGCGCGCGUUGGUGGUUAUUUAAGUCAGAUGUGAAAGCCCCGGGCUUAACCUGGGAACUGCAUCUGAUACUGGAUAACUAGAGUAGGUGAGAGGGGAGUAGAAUUCCAGGUGUAGCGGUGAAAUGCGUAGAGAUCUGGAGGAAUACCGAUGGCGAAGGCAGCUCCCUGGCAUCAUACUGACACUGAGGUGCGAAAGCGUGGGUAGCAAACAGGAUUAGAUACCCUGGUAGUCCACGCCGUAAACGAUGUCUACCAGUCGUUGGGUCUUUUAAAGACUUAGUGACGCAGUUA
rnacentral:rRNA from 1 species